rnacentral:rRNA from 1 species
AGUGAACGCUGGCGGUAGGCCUAACACAUGCAAGUCGAACGGCAGCACAGUAAGAGCUUGCUCUUACGGGUGGCGAGUGGCGGACGGGUGAGGAAUACAUCGGAAUCUACUUUUUCGUGGGGGAUAACGUAGGGAAACUUACGCUAAUACCGCAUACGACCUACGGGUGAAAGCAGGGGAUCUUCGGACCUUGCGCGAUUGAAUGAGCCGAUGUCGGAUUAGCUAGUUGGCGGGGUAAAGGCCCACCAAGGCGACGAUCCGUAGCUGGUCUGAGAGGAUGAUAAGCCACACUGGAACUGAAACACGGUCCAGACUCCUACGGGAGGCAGCAGUGGGGAAUAUUGGACAAUGGGCGCAAGCCUGAUCCAGCCAUACCGCGUGGGUGAAGAAGGCCUUCGGGUUGUAAAGCCCUUUUGUUGGGAAAGAAAAGCAGCAGGUUAAUACCCCGCUGUUCUGACGGUACCCAAAGAAUAAGCACCGGCUAACUUCGUG